AUUGAACGCUGGCGGCAGGCCUAACACAUGCAAGUCGAACGAGUGGCGGACGGGUGAGUAAUGUCUGGGAAACUGCCUGAUGGAGGGGGAUAACUACUGGAAACGGUAGCUAAUACCGCAUACCAUCGGAUGUGCCCAGAUGGGAUUAGCUAGUGGGUGGGGUAAAGGCUCACCUAGGCGACGAUCCCUAGCUGGUCUGAGAGGAUGACCGCCAACACUGGAACGGGACCACGGUCCAGACUCGUCGGGAAGGAAGCAGUGGGGAAUAUUGCACAAGGGGCGCAAGCCUGAGGCAGCCAUGCCGCGUGGAUGAAGAAGGCCUUCGGGUUGUAAAGUACGUUCAGCGGGGAGGCGUUACCCGCAGAAGAAGCACCGGCUAACUCCGUGCCAGCAGCCGCGGUAAUAC
rnacentral:rRNA from 1 species